AUUGAACGCUGGCGGCAUGCCUUACACAUGCAAGUCGAACGGUAACAGGUCUUCGGAUGCUGACGAGUGGCGAACGGGUGAGUAAUACAUCGGAACGUGCCUAGUAGUGGGGGAUAACUACUCGAAAGAGUGGCUAAUACCACAUGAGAUCUACGGAUGAAAGCAGGGGAUCGCAAGACCUUGUGCUACUAGAGCGGCCGAUGGCAGAUUAGGUAGUUGGUGGGAUAAAAGCUUACCAAGCCGACGAUCUGUAGCUGGUCUGAGAGGACGAUCGGCCAAGCGGGGACUGAGACACGGCCCAGACUCCUACGGGAGGCAGCAGUGGGGAAUUUUGGACAAUGGGCGAAAGCCUGAUCCAGCAAUGCCGCGUGCAGGAUGAAGGCCUUCGGGUUGUAAACUGCUUUUGUACGGAACGAAAAGCCCCGGGUUAAUACCCUGGGGUCAUGACGGUACCGUAAGAAUAAGCACCGGCUAACUACGUGCCAGCAGCCGCGGUAA
rnacentral:rRNA from 1 species